UCUGCUUUUGGUACCUCUAGCUUCCACGUGUUGAUCAUCGUGGGGGGUUCUGUUCAGAGGCUGAUUGUUUUAUUUUUUGGCUGGAAGCAUCUUCCACUUUCCACUUUUCACUUUCCUCUUCUCUUCUGUCUUUUCCUUUUCUUUUGCUCUCUCUAUUUUCCGUUUAGAUUUCGAUCCGGUCGUCUAAAAAGGUCGUUCGUCUGUUUUUUUUCUGCUCUUUUCCCGAAACCAAUCGCACCGUUUUAGGGAACAUUGGUCUUUGAAUUUUAGGGUUUUAUCGUACGAGCUUGCAAGCCAUUUUUGGGUGAGGAAGCAGUGGCUAUCUUUUUUUGCGCUUUCGUAUGUACGGUUCCAGGUGCCUCAGGUAUAUACAUUAUGCAACUGUUAAUAUCCAUAACCAAUGCAGGUUUUUAAGCACUCACACAGGUUUGUAUUUCAGUGAAAAAAAUCUAGGAAAAACAAAGGGAGGUUGAACCCAUCUACAUAGUGAAUCGAAAGAAAAAUUAAACUCAAGAGCUAGAGAAUGAAAACUGGUCUGAUGAAAAAAAAAAGAAAUGAACACAUAUAAGUGGCUUGAAUGGAAGAUGCAAUUCCAACACCUAUCAAUCAGUUACAACCGUAUAAAAAGGCAGUAAAAAUUCAAGUCCUGUGUCAAUGUGGAGAGCGAGAAUUCCAGAAACGACCGAUAAAUAUAUAGGCCUGCGCUGUAUACUGGUUGAUGAAAAGCAACGCAGGAGUCUGACUUCCCGCAGCAACGCGCGGGUCACAUUUUCUAGUCAACACUAAUCCUUGGCCUGGAGAACCCUUCAUCUUCUGAAGCCUCAUUUUCUCUCUCCUCAAUUUUUUGUCUGUUCAAUUUCCCAGCCCAUUAAACAACAAUUUUUUCUAGAUUAACAUAUGCAUUCAAUAAAUUAAUAAAUGAUAAAAGUGCAUGUCUGAGUUAAUUUCGUCA